rnacentral:rRNA from 1 species
AGAGUAUGGGAGGGGGAGAUGGAAUUAGUGGUGUAGGGGUAAAAUCCGUAGAUAUCACUAGGAAUACCGAAAGCGAAGGCGAUCUCCUGGAACAUUACUGACGCUAAGGCGUGAAAGCGUGGGGAGCAAACGGGAUUAGAUACCCCGGUAGUCCACGCCCUAAACGAUGAACACUAGUCGUCGGGAUGCUAGUCAUCUCGGUGAUGCACUUAACAGAUUAAGUGUUCCGCCUGGGGAGUACGGUCGCAAGAUUAAAACUCAAAGGAAUAGACGGGGACCCGCACAAGUGGUGGAGCAUGUGGUUUAAUUCGAAGAUACGCGAAGAACCUUACCUAGCCUUGACAUUGAUUGAACGGACCAGAGAUGGACCGGUGCCCUUCGGGGAACAUGAAAACAGGUGCUGCACGGCUGUCGUCAGCUCGUGUCGUGAGAUGUUGGGUUAAGUCCCGCAACGAGCGCAACCCUCGUCAAUAGUUGCCAGCAGGUUAAGCUGGGCACUCUAUUGAGACUGCCUUCGCAAGGAGGAGGAAGGUGAGGACGACGUCAAGUCAUCAUGGCCCUUAUGGCUAGGGCUACACACGUGCUACAAUGGGGCGUACAGAGAGUUGCGAUACCGCGAGGUGGAGCCAAUCUCAUAAAGCGUCUCUCAGUUCGGAUUGAAGUCUGCAACUCGACUUCAUGAAGCUGGAAUCACUAGUAAUCGUAGAUCAGCAAUGCUACGGUGAAUACGUUCCCGGGUCUUGUACUCACCGCCCGUCACACCAUGGGAGUUGAUUUCACCCGAAGCGGGGAAGCUAAACUGGCUACCCUCCACGGUGGAAUUAGCGACUGGGGUGAAGUCGUAACAAGGUAACC